UUCUUGCUCCUGUUGUCUUUUUUUCAACCUUCUUCCCUCUGUUGCCGUGACUUUUUCCUGUUUCUGUGUCAUGUUCUGUCUCUGAUUCAAUUCUUGCUUUUUUUUUCAACAUUCUUCUCUUUUUGAUGCAUUGACUUUUUUCUAUUUGUGUGUCAUUUUCCGUCUCUGAUUCAAUUUUUGUUUCUAUUGUCUUUUUUUCAACCUUUUUUCCUCUGUUGCCUUGACUUUUUUCUGUUUGUGUGUCCUAGUCUGUUUCUGUGUCACUGUCUUCAUCAACUUGUGUUUCUCUUUCGGUUUGCUCAUCUUAUGUUUCCUGCUGUUCUUCAGUUUUCUCUUCCUCUUCUUCAUUUUCAGCUGGUGUCGAUUUUGGUGUGUAGAACUUCACCGACUUUUGUGUCAGCUGACUAUUGCUCUCUUCGAUUUGGACCCUAUUGUAUUUGUCUUUUGCAUAAUUCAGUGACAGUGGCUUAUCCUCAGGCUCUAUGGAAAGCCAAUAUUCUGUUUCACUUUCUUCA
rnacentral:lncRNA from 1 species